ensembl:lncRNA
UGAAAUAGUCGUUGGCGAAGACGCACAUAGCAUGUAGUACCCGGGAGACAACUAUUUGUUGUAUUUACCUCGAGGAGAUCGCGUGGGUCCGGGUAAGAGGGCGUCCCUCGCUACAUGAGAGGGAGGAGGAAACACGGGUGGAACGAUUUCACUCUUUUACCGUUAGUUACAAAGCGGGAUGUCCGGCUGAUGUGCGUCAAACGUUGUAUCACGACAGGGUCACGUUUUCAAUUUAUUACACAACGGCGCUCCUCGACCACUCGCCGUCCACUCUCACUUCUUUGUUUACCAUUUUGCCUUUAUUUAAAUCGUCACCUAAACCCCCUACACGUGGCCCCCCUCGCCCACUCUCUAUUUUUCUCAAACACUCCUGCGAUAAGCAAAUCCAAGCACGGGGAGGAGCUCCUGUCUAGUGCACCCCCCUCCGCUGUUUCUUCCCCAUUUCACAUUUCAACAGAGAGAGGGGGAAUAGAAAGUAUAGAGAGGGAGGGGGGUCUGCUGCUGCUUUUCAUAUGAGCGGAAGGCGUCAUAUUCCGUGCAGUUCAAGCGCUGUUGUUGGCCAAGGCUUACACGAGAUGACCGGAGAGGGGCUGUUUCACAGAUAACGGAACAGUGAAAAGAGAGCGGCGACGCAAGGAGGCAGAAGACGACGGCGACGACGACGACAAGCCAUAAAAACGUCAAAAACCGUGUUAUCGGGAAAGACAACAGCGCGUUUCACUCCCCUCCAUCACCUCCGCUCGAGCCAAUCGAGAUGGAUUUAUCUUCUGCACCAUUUAUCAGAUCACUCGCCCAAGCGAACCGUGCUUCGCGCGCAGCAGCAGCAACACCGACCGCGGUCCCUUUCGUUUGCUCUCGUUAGAGAGCGUUUUGUUUUGUUAUUCGAACAGUGUGCGCGCUCUCCUGGACGUCGAGGAAUUGAACCUGCUGCCAUUGAACUGAAAAAACGGAGGAGACUGGCUUGUGGACUCUUGAGCUAUAACUAGCAGGCAACCCCUUUUUGUCGCGCGCCGCCGAGCGAAACCGUAAGAUAUCGUCUAGCCCACUGCUGCCCUGAUGCAAAAACACCGCCGCAGCCUCGAGAAGCUAUGCAUGUGUUUGAUAAGAUAAAUAUGUGACGGGGGAAUAACGGGAGACCCCGGCCCGGUUCUGUCUGAUCUGCACACCCAGGCUGAUAGCGGAGGCUCUGGUGACGAGAUGGAAAUGGCAUAAAUUCAUCUUUUAUACAUCAACAAGGAGACUGAAGGACGGAACGGACACAUCUGACACCACUAUCUGCAUCUAGAGACAUCAAACACAGGCGAUGGAACGGGUCAUACAAUGUAAGGGAUGAAUGCUAAGAGGUACAUCGCUUCGGGUCAAGAAUUCGUCGUUAAAUUACCGCCCAAAAAGUUCUGAUAUGAGAGCUGUGGCAUUGGCUGUAACAACUGGAGAGGGCAAGGAAGUAUUUUUCUUAUAUACACACACACACACACACACACUACUUUCCCUGCUAAUACACCAUCUUUCUGUGAUUCCACGCUUAGGCAACAAUGUUCUAGAAGCUUCUGUCUAGCUCUAGAAUUUCGGCAAAGUUCUUUCUUCGCUGAAUCCCAACUAGAUAAUGGACCUUGAACCAAGGCCACGGCAUACUCAUACUCAGCCUGCUGUAUUCUCGUACCCCUGAAGGGGAGUUGGGGGGUGCAGGCAGGUAUGUUGAAAGGCAUUCAUUCUCUGUACAGAUUAGUGGUGGGUGCUAGCAGGAUGUCAUAUAAAUGCCCUCGCACUCCCACACACAAAAUGCACACACACACACACACACACACAAAAACAAAUAAACACAUGCAAAAUGCACUCAUGCACACAC